AAAAAGAUCAUUGCUGAUUAAACAAUGGAUUAGAAACUGAGCACCCUCAGUGAAAGUCCAAACCGUCUUACAAAUACUUUUAUCACAAUUAAUUUCUUACAGACAACAUGAUACAUUACCUACACCACUUGACAUACACUGAAACCUUUCCUUCUAUUUUAUUUUCUAGUAAGUACACAAAGUCAAUCUAUUUAUUAUCAGAUCCAUACUCAACACCAAGACCAUACAGGACACCUGCAUACUUCUCUGUAGACCCAUUAAAGAAGUUAUCUUUUAACUUCUUGAACGCACACGAGGUAAGUAAGCUAUCUGAACCUGCUUGAUGACAAAUACCGACCCUUUCAAUUUCCAGUAGUUCCGCCAACUUGUUCAAGCCACCAUGAAGGCUGUUACAGAACUUCAUCAGGUGUUUGAUGUCAUAAACCAGCGGAAAGUACAUGUUUAGCAAAUCAAAGAACCCUGAUUGUGUUUCCGGUAAGGUCCUACAAGUUAAUAAUUUGAGCAAAUACCCAAAAUCAUACCCACUGUGAAAUGUCACCCAAUGAACCAUGUCAUUCAAAACGAUUCCAGAAGACAUUAAGAGUUCACCAAACUGUUUUGCAUCAAUACCCAUUUCAUUGUUCUUCUUGAAAUCAAUCCCAGACUGAAUCAGCAAUUCGAUUGAAUCAUUUGCAAAAAUAUUUGCUUUUGUAUCGAACUCACGAAAGUUGAAUUGCCAAACGUAGUAGUACUCACUCUCACAAGUAGGUAGAUUGCCAUUUUCAUCGGAAAAUGUGAGACCUAACUGAAUCAAGUUCAACAUAUCAACAUUGUCCUUCAAGGUCUGAUAAUUAUACUCAUUAAUAUGCUUGAAAUUGCCAACAGGACGAAGCACCACCCCUGGAAACUCGGUGUCCAUGGCAAUGUAAGGAUAGUCAUCCACAAUUUGACGGAUCAAAGCAAAUUCCUUCUCAAGAUUAUCGCUCCAUACCUCUCUAAUUUUGAUAGAAUCAAUUUUUGGUAACACAGACAUUCUUCGUAAAAAAAGCUGAUUCUGGUGAAGUUUAUAAUAAGUAGAUAGAUCAAAAAGCCCUGGGUAUAAUCUUCAUUACAUGGUGGACUUCAAAGCUACAAUUACAAAAGGAUCACAACAGCUAACACGGCACGACAGACUAUCCUGAUCUGUGAAGAAUGAAGCAAGUCAAAAUGGUAGAGCUCAUCAAAGAAGAAGAAAAAAGGAAAAGGAAAAGGAAAAGAUACGCAGAAUGAGCAUUCAGGUUUGCUCUUGCUGCAUACAUCGGUUAUAAUAUAUACAGGGUAAACUACGCACUAAUACAGACAACGGAGUACCAUACACAAUAUCUGAAAAUAAAUCCAGAAUCUCCAUUGAGAAUCAACAGAAGAGGUCAAAAGUUCACAAAAGAUGGUGCAUCUUUCUAAAAAAAGUUGCCUCGUGGAGGUCGCAUUGCACGGCGGAACCAAGUGUUGAAUGCAACGACUAAAUGAGGACAAUCUUCAACAUUUCGAGUUGAGAAGCUGAGGCACUGCUGCAACAACUCUUGUGCAUCUGACAUAGGCAAUGUAGAGAUAAUUCUUAAGAAUGUCUCUUCCAGCUCUACAUACAGUGAUUUAUGACUAGGCGACAUUGGUGAUACAUUGUCUUUGCAUACAAUCAGAACAGGAAGCCAGUCCUUUACAAGCUUCAUCCUUACCUGCAAGGAAAAAACAAUUCAUUGAAGGGCCAAAAUGUCUCGAAUGUAGGCCCCAGUAAGCCAAGUUAUUCAAUGGGGAUGUUCAGCAUGUAAAUGCACUUCUGAAUUCUUGUCUUUCAGGUUUCGACAAUAGAACCUCCACCAGAUUGCAAAAGUUAAUACACGGCAUCAUAAAAAGAAUGAAGCCAGCUUCACCAUUGACAUCAAGUAUGGAAAUUCUCUACUUCUCAUGUCAUUGCAUGAUCAUAAAUACUCUAAAUUUUUUUUCACGCAUUCCAAGAGUGUACAGUUGUAAGCCCAAAAUAAUGGUUUUAGGCUUCUGAAGCCUAAAAGCUGAUAGGAUAAUUUUAUAAGGUUCAGAAAAUUAUUUUCCUUUCCGUUUCAAAGGAAAGUAAAAGAACCGUUUAUUUUUACUUUGAUACCUUAAGUUUACAGAUAAAAAUGCAUUAGUCCUGCUCCUUUGAUGAAUAAUAGGAUCUAACAAUUUUCACUUAAAUCAUGAAGUUCAGAUUUAGGAGAGAUUAUGUUACAUAGUAGAACAACUCAAAUCAUAAGCAAAUCAAAAGAUGUUUGCUUCCUUGUUUUGAGGAUUUGAAGCAAAAACCACCAUAUAAUUCUUGGAUGAUUGGCCAGUGAUUUCAUUAGACUAAUAAGUCAAAUUGAUUUCAUUAUUUUGCCUAAUUAAAUGGUUAUAUUUUUUAGUUUCUAUUCCCCAAAUCACUUUAAAGACCAGACCAAACUAUAAUAUUUCAUAUCAGUUUGGUUUCAUUUCUUUACUUAAACCAAUCAAUAUGCCUUGAAAACUUUCCUAAUCUGGACUUGGAACACCCUUGUGUAGUCCCAAAUUGUUCAGCAAAUUCAUGAGAUCGAAAUUCUAAACCACCAACUGUGUACCACAAACCGUUUCCAAUCAUUAUAUUAAGCUAAAACUUGCACAAGAAACAUUUCCUUGCAUUUUGCUCCUUUGUUCCAGAAAGUAUUGAAGGAUGUAAACCCCAUGAAUCAAACAUUUACAUAAACUUAUAUUUGAACACAUGAUUAGCUACCCUGCAUCAGUAACCUCAACCUUUAUGCAUGUAAUAUUAUAAGUUAGAUGGGAAAUUUUCCAAUAAAAGGAAGCCAUUGUAGUUGUAGAUGAAAAGGUUAAGUAUGUUUAAACACGAACGAAACAUAUACAAUAUCCUACAAAAUUAAAGUAUAUAAUGAUCGAUCAUCAUAGAAUCAAUUUUCGAACAAAUAUGCAAAUAAAUAGCAAACUCCAUUGCAAAGCGAAGUAGAUACCUGUCUAGCAGCCAAAAUGGUCCCAGCAGCAACCGCAUUGGCAAGUUUAGAAGUGCAGCGAAGCACAACAGCAGGAAGACCCGGGACGAUAUUCCUCCAGGCAUCUUCACGAAACGCGCGCUGCAAAUCAGCAGUGAAAGCCGGCUGCUCACUCCACUCCUUCACUGCGCAAUCAGCCACCCUCAGCUCAAUCAUCCUCUCAACCAGCCACAGCAAAUGCUUCCCAUUGGUCAAGGCUCUGUGCAGGCUAAGCCUCUGUAUCGCCUCCGUCUCAUUAUGGUCCCCUCUAAAAUCAGGACUCGAAUACUCCUCCAGCGAAUCCUUCACAAUCUUCAAACUCGCCUCAAAAGCUCUCUCCAAACCCCUCCUCGCCGACUCUCUCGAGGAAAAAUCCCUCAACAGCUUCGCUACGAAUGCUUUCACAAACGCCAUGUGAGGGUGGAUAUGAAUUGCUGAUAAGAUCAAUCCGUGAAGCAUUUCCUCGCAUGAAUCAUCCUUCCCAGGCGAAACCCUAGCUAAAAGCUCUUCAGAUUCUUCCUCGCGCAAAAAAGGAAUCAAGCUAAGCACACGUUUCUCAUCCUCUUCGCUCCACGGGACUACUUCGAGGAAUUUAACGCAUUUCUUCACGCAAUCCUCGAAUAACAAUUCCAAGGCCACCGGUAGAAUAUCAAGAGCCACGGAUGCAGAGUUGAUUACGGUGCCGAAAUCGUUAGUGUAAAGGAGUUCAAGCACGGUUAGAUGAAUAUCAAUGGAGCCUUGAGUAGGCGGGACUCCAAAUUUCAAAGACGUCAAAUUCUUACAAUCGGAAAUGGGAUUGCUGGAUUCAAUGGAGGAAUUGUUUUGCCAGCGGUAGGAUAAGAGGGCGGAGAAAUACUUGGCGCGGCAGAGGACUGGGGAAUGGAGGUAGAUCUGGACGUCGGAUUGGCUAUCAACGGAGGAAACUGAAUCAUCAGCGUCGGUGAAGGGAGCCGUUGGGUCCAGAAAAAGGCGAAGGAUGACAUCAGCUGUGGUGGGAUCGUUGAAUGAAGUGUCGGCGGCGGUGGUGGAGGCGGAUGAGGAUGAGGAUGAAGAUGAGAAGAGGGGAUGAGAGGAUGUGCGGCGGAGCUUCUGGGAGGUUUCUGUAGCGGUUUUGUAGGACAAGGAAUCGAUAAGUGCGGCGGUGGAGGAAAGUCGGGAAGUGGUGGCAGUAGAGAUGUGGCGGUGAUGAAUCACGCGCUGUCGCUUUUUGGGGUUUGACGGCAACAUCUGUUAAAGAGUUGUCCGGAUCAACAAGGACGAUUUUUCAGGACGAAGAUGGAUGCCACGGGCAGUUUUAAACAAUGUAUGCAUCGACAGGUGGCUGCGUGUGCUAGGCGAAUACUAUAUUUU
rnacentral:misc_RNA from 1 species